GUCAGCUGACAAUUGCAGGCUGCUCACAAACGCCAUUGGCCCGUUUGGUGUCUGCCACGGCACCGUGGAUCCUGAACGUUUCUUCACCAGCUGCGUGUUUGACAUGUGUGCGUUGAGCGGAGACGCCGUGGGACUGUGUCAGAAUCUGGAGGCGUACGCUGUCGCCUGUCGGGCUGCUGGUGUGGCGCCGUUUUCCUGGCGGACAGAAGAGCGAUGUCCUGUGGUGUGCCCGCCGAACAGUCACUACUCUAUAUGCACAAGCUACUGCCCUGCGACCUGUGCAGACCCCUACUCAGAAGAGUACUGUUACAAUAUAUGUGUGGAGGGCUGUGAAUGUAACCAUGGAUUCCUCCUUAGUGGACAAGAGUGUGUU